AAUCCGCUGCAGACUUUUAUUGGUCUGUCUCUAAACGAUUGGAUCCGAAUGAUAAGGUUGACUUUGUUACUACAGGCGCUAUUUUAUUAAUAUAAGAAUUAAUUUUAUCUCAAGAUGUGACGUUUUUGACACAAAUUGUCUGGAUAUGACGCUCAAAAUUGACUUCAUCAUCUCAGCCUAUAUACGUCCCACUGCUGGGCACAGGCCUCCUCUCGAGCACGAGAGGGCUUGGGCUAUAGUCCCCACGCUAGCCCAAUGCGGAUUGGGGACUUCACAUACACCUUUGAAAAAAAAUUGAUUUAUUUCAAAAUUGACUUAUGUGAAGUCAAUCCCUUUUCUGAAGGAUUCAACAAGAUAUUUCUAGUUGUAAAACUUUCAUAUCGUUUUUUUGAUAGCCGUAGUGAUAACUCCAUUUGAAUUUAAGUAUAAUUAAUUGAAAUGGUGGCGCCAUCUAGGCUUAGCCCGAUAUAACCAUGUGAGACAAACUAAAAAAAGACAUUUUAAAAAUAACUUUUAGCUAUUUUAAAAAUCUGAAGCUAUUAUUUGAUAAACUUUAUUGUUUUGUAAAUGUUAUUUAUUCCAUUCGUUGUUAAAUUAUAUAUUUUACAUCGGUUUCUAUUCUAAAUUGUUUUUAAAUAACGAAUUUAAUCAGAGUUAUUAAAAAAAAGGAAAAUCCGUCGCCAUUUUUAGAUAGUAUUUAUAAUUGCAUUUAUUUAUCAUUCCAAUUAUGUUUUUUAUUAAGUAAUUUUACAAAUGCACAAGACCAGGUAAGAAACGAGUUUUUUUUCCGAUUUUAGCCUUUAAAAUCAAAAUCUAAGAGAUUUUUGAAGUAAAAGGUACCGUCAAUACAAUUAAAGUACCUCUUUUGUCAGUAAAUAAGAACUAUUUGUAUAGUAAGGACUCAAAGCACGAGGAAUAUCAUACAUUGAUCCGCCCGUCCCUAUAUCUAUCGCACGUGCGCGAUUAUAUUGCUGUCCCGCCCAUGAUGCCGUCUAUGCCACUGUGCGAGAAGGACAACAAUAUAAUUACGCGCAUGCGAUAGAAAUAGAAACAGGCGGGUCAUUGUACGAAAUUCUUCGCGUCCUUACUAUAACUGCAUCUUUAUGCUAAAGUCGCACCAAGAAAAGUCUGCAGCGGAUUUGAUAGCCCACGCAGUGUAAGUGUUAUGUAUACGUCAUAAUUUCAUAGAUGAUUGACGUUUAAAAUGACACUUGCACUGCGUGGGCUAAUAAAAUCGCUGCAGACUUUUCAUGGUCUGACUAUAGUACCUAUUGUCUUAAUGACAAGCAAAGUGGUACAUUGUGUCUAAGAACAAUACAUAUGAGUGUAAACUACAUGUUUUGUGUCUACAUGUACAUGUGUGUCCUAUUAAGAGAAAUAACGGAAUUGUGAAUUUUAAACCUCCUACAAUAAGGGUGUAAAUAUUAAAAAUAGGUGACAACUGUACAUUUCAGCCGCUUCACGAAACUUAAAUUAUGACUUUUAUGCCAAAUGAGCGUGUUUUAGAAAUGCGCUUAAUCUAUUGAUUAUUUUAUAAAUAGUGCUUAGAUUAUUCACUAGAUGGCGCUAGUGUUUUUUUUUUAACUCUUUCAGCUGCCACUAUGAUGUAUUUUAUUUUAUGAAGAAAUAAUGAUACUUGUGUAUUUUUGUCGUAUAUCGUCUUGUCUUACUUUUUUAUAUACACUAGCGCCAUCUGUUGUGUAAUAGCUAGCACUAUUUCUUUAUUUCUGUUUUAAGAACGACAAAUAGCAAGAUCUACGCCUUGUGCACACUAAAUUGAACCUUACAACCCCAUUAAUAAGGUUUAAUUUCACUAAAGUCAUACUUUUCAAUUUCACUUUUUAAAUGGUUUCUUUACAUCGGCAAUAUUUGCUAUAAUUAAACGUAAUAUGUAUCGGAACACUGCAUUGUAAAUAUAAUCUUACUACCGAGCCAUAGAGCUCAAUUUGUAAUGGUCGGGAUCUGUUUCUUGCGUCCAAGUACUAGGAGUGAAUUGUCAAACUUAUUAUUAAAUUGCAUGUGUGUAGAACUAAAGUCGCUGGCGUGGCGUGAAACGUGAUUUUAUCUACUGAGAUAGGGAAUAGGGUUAUAAUUAUGAAUAUUAUGAAUAAUUGAUAUAUGACAAAUAACGCUUUUUCUCUAUAUUUUAAUUUGACAGAAUUUAGUUUUGAGAAAUGUAAUAAAAAAAUCUAAAAUAAGCAUAAAAUAUACGAAUAUCUGUUGACAUAUUCAUAUUUGACAAUAUAUAAGACAUAUCUUUUUACCUACUUAAGUGUUGUUUGUAUAAUAUUUUAGUUGUUUUAAUAAGUAAAGAUUUUUUUUACAUUGAACACUAAACUAACAAAACAUCUCUUACCUUAAAUAAGCGAUUUUUUUUAUAUUAAAUUUCAGCAUAUACAGCAUUAAAUUAAUAAUUGUAACACGUAAAAAAAUCUGUUAGGUACCAUUAAGAACAGGCCUAAAAAUCCAUAAACAUAUCUAAUGUAUUCAAGAUCCCACUUCUGAAGUCAAGAUUACAAUCGGAAUAAUUUUUGUCAUAACUCAAUUCCUAUUUGAGUGGUUGAAUAAUUUUACGGUUUAGACUCACUUGUUUUUAGUCACUCGCGCGACAUGUUUCGGAGAGCCUAGGUCUCCUUUCUCAAGCGCUAACAGUGCGAAAAAAAAGGAAAGAAACCUUAACCUAAACCUUUCUUGAGAAAGGAGACCUAGGCUUUUCGAAACAUGUCGCGCGAGUGACUAAAAACAAGUGAGUCUAAACCGUAAAAUUAUUCAAUGUUAGUAUGUCUCACAACAGUUUAAAUUCGAUUAUUUGAGUGGUAUUCACGUUUCAAGCCGCGCCACCAGGUUGGCUGUGAGUCGUCUGAAUUAGCCUACAAUGCACAUUAUCAACUGUAUCUUGCAUCGCCCUUCUUGCAAAAUGUCGAAAUAAACCGCUCAUAUAAGUUACAAAGAAUUUAUCAGCGUACAUUUGGUCUGAAAUAUGAAAAAAAUAGCAAUAGAGUGCUAGAUUAACGUCUAGCCGUCCAGAGGCCUAUAAAAAAGUCUCCCGUUCCAUCCUAAUUUGAAUCUUUAUAUUAAUGCAUGUUUUGAUGUGGGCAGUUAGAAAAAGAGUUUAUAAAAACAGAAAAAAUGGCAGUCAAGCGUAGGGCCCACUUAAUAGUUUUUUUAAACUAAACUGUCACAAGCGUAGACUUCGCUGUAACUUAUAAAAGCGGGAAUAAGUCCUAUUCGCUUCAUAGACCUAGUAAAGGUAAUACUGUAAAGUUAAGUAGUUCAUAAAUGAACUAAAUCUGCUUUAUCCUAAUAUAGUACUAAAUAUAGUACAAAGUGUAAUCUGAAUCUUGCGUUACAAACGUUCUAAUUUCAAAAUUAGGACCUUACUUCACAUGUUCUAAAAGUUAUUUUAGGUUUUGUACUAUAAUUAGUACAUUAUACCGGGUGUGGCCUGUAACACGAGCAAAUAAUUAAAACAUAGGUUGUACUCCUCAAACGGUGACACUUUUGUUCAACAACUUUUAAAAAUUAUGAAGUAUUUAGAUUCCCUAUUUUUCAUACAAAAUAAAUAUCAUCAUCAAUGGACGCCAUCGCCACGCCAUAUCAUUGUGAUUGACGUUGCUUGUCACGCCUUAAACAUAACAAAAUUCGCAAUACAUCAGUCUUACACUAAACUUUAAAGUGUAUUAAAAAUCAAACCACAAGUUAUUUUUAAAAGUCGCUGAACAAAUGUUGGUCAGUAUGAGGAAUACAGCCUACAGUUUAAUUUUUUGCUCAUAUUACAGGCCACACCCGGUAUUUCGGACAUACGAGUCUAUGGAACGAAUAGGAGGCAGUGAAAGCGACGCGAUUUCCACACUAACUUUUGUAUAAAGGGCAUAGUAAUAAUCUAAUUAUUAACAUUAAUUACUUGAUAAUUAACUCUUAAGUAUCGAUUAACGUCCGUUUGGGUCAAUGUUAUCGUAGUUCAUAAGUGUUUUUUUGCAAUUUUCGUCACAACUUUUAGUGUAAGCUGUAGUGGGUAGUUGCUUCGCUUUAUUGAUACCAGAGAUUUCCAAAUACCCUCUUAAAAUUUUAGAUGAAACUAUAAACUAUCUAAAUUCGGAUAAUUUCUGAAAUAAUUUCACAAUUUUAUUGAGAUUUAGUAUUUUUCUCUGGUAUUUAUAAAAUGGAGGGUAGCUUGCGUGCGUGAAUGUUUUCAGGGUGAUGUUACAACUUGAUAUAUUUAAUUGAAAGAAAAACACUUCAAAAAUUAGCCUUCGUAAUGAAACAAUCCAUUUAUUCUCGUAACGCCCACUGUAGUACUAUUUAAUUACAGAAUUGCAUUUCCUUUUAUUUCGUUCGCUUUAAAUACAAUAUAAAUAUUCCCGUCAAUAUUUAUUUCAAAUUCAAAUGACAUUUGUUUUAUAUGGAGGGAGGUUUUGGAGGUUAAAAUAAUGGGUCUUUAAAUGGGCCAACUAUGCAAUGCAAUAGAUCCUCUUAGACUACAAAAGGUCACCUCCUCGACUAUAUGUGACGUCCCACGGAAAAGGUACCUUAUGGCGGUUGGCGCUUACGCUAUUAUUAGCGCCGCUCCAAUAUUAUUGCGGCGCUAUGCGACGUAAGCGCCAGCUGCCAUAAGGUACCCUUUGCCGUGGAACGUCACAUAUAGUCGCUGAAAGUAUAACUCAUUUCCUAUUUUAGGAAGCCACUGAAAGUAUAAAGAAGUCUGUGUACAGUCGCCAUCAGAUAUAUUGUAGCGGCCAAGGUGCUCACAAAUAUCUAAACACGCCUCUAUUAUUAAGCCGUUAGAGUGCGUGUUCAGAUAUUUUUGAGGACCUCGGCCGCUCCGAUAUAUCUGAUGGCGACUGUACUAUAUCUGAGUGCCAAAACAGUCUUCCAUUCUGAGUGCGUAAAAUAUGUUUUAAAUACAAAUAAAAACUGAAUGAUGUCACUUUGUAACAUUACCCUGAUAAUUUUACAUUGUACGGUCCGAUCUUGUAGAUAUUUUUUUUAUUUAAUGUUCAAAAGUGUAAUGCCAUUUGCGGAAAAGACUAAUGUUAUAUAUUAAUGAAUACGAUAUUAUAAUUAUUAUUCAACAA